GUUUUACUAGUGUAAAGAACACAGGAAAUUUUCGUUUUCCAAAUUCAUUUGAGUAAAAUU
rnacentral:tRNA from 1 species